rnacentral:rRNA from 1 species
GAUGAACGCUGGCGGCGUGCCUAAUACAUGCAAGUCGAGCGAACGGACGAGAAGCUUGCUUCUCUGAUGUUAGCGGCGGACGGGUGAGUAACACGUGGAUAACCUACCUAUAAGACUGGGAUAACUUCGGGAAACCGGAGCUAAUAUCGGAUAAUAUUUUGAACCGCAUGGUUCAAAAGUGAAAGACGGUCUUGCUGUCACUUAUAGAUGGAUCCGCGCUGCAUUAGCUAGUUGGUAAGGUAACGGCUUACCAAGGCAACGAUGCAUAGCCGACCUGAGAGGGUGAUCGGCCACACUGGAACUGAGACACGGUCCAGACUCCUACGGGAGGCAGCAGUAGGGAAUCUUCCGCAAUGGGCGAAAGCCUGACGGAGCAACGCCGCGUGAGUGAUGAAGGUCUUCGGAUCGUAAAACUCUGUUAUUAGGGAAGAACAUAUGUGUAAGUAACUGUGCACAUCUUGACGGUACCUAAUCAGAAAGCCACGGCUAACUACGUGCCAGCAGCCGCGGUAAUACGUAGGUGGCAAGCGUUAUCCGGAAUUAUUGGGCGUAAAGCGCGCGUAGGCGGUUUUUUAAGUCUGAUGUGAAAGCCCACGGCUCAACCGUGGAGGGUCAUUGGAAACUGGAAAACUUGAGUGCAGAAGAGGAAAGUGGAAUUCCAUGUGUAGCGGUGAAAUGCGCAGAGAUAUGGAGGAACACCAGUGGCGAAGGCGACUUUCUGGUCUGUAACUGACGCUGAUGUGCGAAAGCGUGGGGAUCAAACAGGAUUAGAUACCCUGGUAGUCCACGCCGUAAACGAUGAGUGCUAAGUGUUAGGGGGUUUCCGCCCCUUAGUGCUGCAGCUAACGCAUUAAGCACUCCGCCUGGGGAGUACGACCGCAAGGUUGAAACUCAAAGGAAUUGACGGGGACCCGCACAAGCGGUGGAGCAUGUGGUUUAAUUCGAAGCAACGCGAAGAACCUUACCAAAUCUUGACAUCCUUUGACAACUCUAGAGAUAGAGCCUUCCCCUUCGGGGGACAAAGUGACAGGUGGUGCAUGGUUGUCGUCAGCUCGUGUCGUGAGAUGUUGGGUUAAGUCCCGCAACGAGCGCAACCCUUAAGCUUAGUUGCCAUCAUUAAGUUGGGCACUCUAAGUUGACUGCCGGUGACAAACCGGAGGAAGGUGGGGAUGACGUCAAAUCAUCAUGCCCCUUAUGAUUUGGGCUACACACGUGCUACAAUGGACAAUACAAAGGGCAGCGAAACCGCGAGGUCAAGCAAAUCCCAUAAAGUUGUUCUCAGUUCGGAUUGUAGUCUGCAACUCGACUACAUGAAGCUGGAAUCGCUAGUAAUCGUAGAUCAGCAUGCUACGGUGAAUACGUUCCCGGGUCU